rnacentral:rRNA from 1 species
UACGUAGGGUGCGAGCGUUGUCCGGAAUUACUGGGCGUAAAGAGCUCGUAGGUGGUUUGUCGCGUCGUCUGUGAAAUUCCGGGGCUUAACUCCGGGCGUGCAGGCGAUACGGGCAUAACUUGAGUACUGUAGGGGAGACUGGAAUUCCUGGUGUAGCGGUGAAAUGCGCAGAUAUCAGGAGGAACACCGGUGGCGAAGGCGGGUCUCUGGGCAGUAACUGACGCUGAGGAGCGAAAGCAUGGGUAGCGAACAGGAUUAGAUACCCCGGUAGUCCCU